rnacentral:rRNA from 1 species
UUCUAAGGGCGGUGAAGUCAGACCGGAAGGACUGGUGGAGCGCUUAGAAGUGAGAAUGCCGGUAUGAGUAGCGAAAGAAGGGUGAGAAUCCCUUCCACCGAAUAUCUAAGGUUUCCUGAGGAAGGCUCGUCCGCUCAGGGUUAGUCGGGACCUAAGCCGAGGCCGAUAGGCGUAGGCGAUGGACAACAGGUAGAGAUUCCUGUACCAGUGCUAAUUGUUUAACCGAUGGGGUGACACAGAAGGAUAGGGAAUCGCACGAAUGGAAAUGUGCGUCCAAGCAGUGAGUGUGAGAAGUAGGCAAAUCCGCUUCUCGCGAAGCAUGAGCUGUGAUGGGGAAGGAAAUUAAGUACGGAAGUUCCUGAUUUCACGCUGUCAAGAAAAGCCUCUAGGAAGAGUAGUACUGCCCGUACCGCAAACCGACACAGGUAGAUGAGGAGAGAAUCCUAAGGUGAGCGAGAGAACUCUCGUUAAGGAACUCGGCAAAAUGACCCCGUAACUUCGGGAGAAGGGGUGCUCUAUUAGGGUGCAAGCCCGAGAGAGCCGCAGUGAAUAGGCCCAGGCGACUGUUUAGCAAAAACACAGGUCUCUGCAAAACCGUAAGGUGACGUAUAGGGGCUGACGCC